rnacentral:rRNA from 1 species
CCUACGGGAGGCAGCAGUGAGGAAUAUUGGUCAAUGGGCGGAAGCCUGAACCAGCCAAGUAGCGUGCAGGAUGACGGCCCUACGGGUUGUAAACUGCUUUUAUACGGGAAUAACGCGCCUUACGUGUAGGGCUUUGCAUGUACCGUAUGAAUAAGGACCGGCUAAUUCCGUGCCAGCAGCCGCGGUAAUACGGAGGGUCCGGGCGUUAUCCGGAUUUAUUGGGUUUAAAGGGAGCGUAGGCCGCAUGUCAAGCGUGCUGUGAAAUGUCCGGGCUCAACCCGGGCCUGGCAGCGGGAACUGGCGGGCGUGAGACGGCGGAAGGUAGGCGGAAUUCGUCGUGUAGCGGUGAAAUGCUUAGAUAUGGCGAAGAACCCCGAGUGCGAAGGCAGCUUGCUGCAGGGGAACUGACGCUGAUGCUCGAAAGCGCGGGUAUCGAACAGGAUUAGAUACCCGGGUAGUC